CCCCACUAUGCCUUGCCAUAAACCAAGAUAGGAAAAAUACAACCUAUCCGCCAAAGAACUACAAGCAAAACGCUCAAAACUUAAAGGACUUGACGGUAUUUCACAUCAACCUAGAGGAGCCCGUCCAAUAAUCGAUAAUACGCGUUAAACCCUACCACUUUUGGCCACUCCAGCCUAUAUACCGCCGUCGUCAGCUAACCUUGUGAAAGAAAAAAAGUUAGCAAAACAGCCCCCGCUAAUACGUCAGGUCAAGGUGUAGCUAAUAAAGUGGAUGAGAUAGGCUACAUUUUUUAACAUAAAAUCACGGACAGUACAAUGAAACCUUGUACUCAAAGAUGAAUUUAGCAGUAAAAUUAGAAAUGAAUCUAAUUUUAACGACGCCCCG
rnacentral:rRNA from 1 species